rnacentral:rRNA from 1 species
UACGGGGGGCGCAAGCGUUGUUCGGAUUUACUGGGCGUAAAGGGCGCGUAGGCGGCGCAACAAGUCACUUGUGAAAUCUCCGGGCUUAACCCGGAGCGGCCAAGUGAUACUGUCGUGCUAGAGUGCGGAAGGGGCUACUGGAAUUCUCGGUGUAGCGGUGAAAUGCGUAGAUAUCGAGAGGAACACCUGCGGCGAAGGCGGGUAGCUGGGCCGACACUGACGCUGAGGCGCGAAAGCCAGGGGAGCGAACGGG